rnacentral:rRNA from 1 species
CCGCAAAACCACCUGCUCGACGUACCUCCGGCCAUAGACGCAGGAAGCAAGCCCGCAGCACUACGCACCGGAGGCGAGAAAAAGAUAAAUGGCAAAGAUAGACUAAAGACAGACCAUAUUUAUGUCGCCACGACGGAUAAAGACAAGGGCGAAACAUGUACCCGGAUACUAAAGAUAUGACCGCGCGUGCGUGUUCUACAAGCCAGGCACUCCGAAGCUUAAACCGGGUGGAGCGCGCGACCGCUCCAACCAACCACUCUUUUUAUUUACACACCAACGACCCGGGCGAGCCGCUGUCGUCGCAGCUGGUAAUUCGUAGCGUACAAGCACAAACCCGGGGUCUUUCACCUGCCGUGGCGCACCCCGCGCCCCGCCGUCGCGGCGAAGAGCGGUACCUGCCGUACCUCAAGAAGAAGCUCCUUAGACGUCGUCCCAAACACAGCGCCAACCUGUCGCCUUAAACGAAUUCCCUAGAGCAACGGCCACUCGUUGACUGACUUCCGCCGUAUUCACCUUGUCUCCUACGCCUCCUCCGAAACUAAAGAAGAGACGGCUACCCUGCUCGACCACCGCCGUACCUAAUACUUCCCCCGCUUCCUCGACCAUACCCCCCACGCGCAGCAUACUAGAACCGCUACUUCCCUACCGCUAAGGACGCUCUAUCCGUCACGUUUAUAUCAGGGACUACGACGCCUGGUCCUAGGUCUGCUUCUACCGUACCCUCACAGUUCACGUUUGGUUAGAAGAACCUAGUCCUCCCAGUUUCAACCACACAGUGUCGGUUUUUGAUAGAAUUGUCCAUUACGUACUAACCUAUGUUUUUUUUCUUUUUUUUUGUAACAGUAACUAUAUUAAACAAUCUCACGAACUACAUAUUUUAAGAUUACUAGAAUGAACUAAAGAAACACCGACCCUCUCUAGUUCGAGCGCGCUACCUUUAACGUUAUCCGCUGCAGUACGGCGCCUGACGUGUAGCCACCACGUUUACCGUGCAGGACUUCUUCCGUUUUCUCUCGGAACCCCGUGACGAAACGUUUCCCUUCACUUAAGUUCGGUCUUAAGUUGUUCGAUCAGGUGGUGUAUCAAUCAUAACUACUUAAACUCUUCCCGACCCGUACGUACUAACUUUUUAUACCGGAGGUUUGGUUACGUAAGGAUUGGGUCGAAAUGCUUCACUCCCCCUUCACCCGCUUCGGUAUGAAGUACCCACACAAAACACGUUUCUACUGUUCAUGCGUCGCUUCGCUCUCGCGUUUGGUGGAAGACUUUCCCAUACAUGGUGGUCCGACGGGGUACGUAAACAAGUAGGCCGUUAUACUCUUCUACGUUAAACUGCCGUUGAGUCUUCUUUCAAUGGUCCUCUUUUCCUGUUUUGAUCCACCCUAACAGGACUUCGUUUUCUAGGGUCAGCUCCAUGUACGUAGCGUCCAAAUGUGGUCUUGUUACAAACUCUUUAAACCACUUCGUAACGUGCACACACCCAGCAUACUAGAACAUCUUCAGUUCGGGGUUAACCUCAUGUAACGAUCCGUGUAUUUUAAGGUCAGUUCCCUUUUCACCACGUUCUUACUCAAACAGUAGAGGGACUCACUCUGUCGGUUACUCAAGUCCACGCUCACACCUUGUAAACUCUUGAUACCUUACCAAACAUCAGUACGCGAAUUCCCGUACAGUAUAGAGGAGAAGCCAGUACUAUGUGGAUUUUGACGUACUCGAGGGAGGCUUUGUACACGAGUUCGCUACCUGAUCUCUACGUUCUCUAUAUGAUGAUGGCCUCAUAAACGCGAUGGUCUUCCUGGUACCCGGGGACUUCAUAAGAAGAGCAGCUGUGUUGUGAAAUAUGAACAACCGUCACCUACACCAAUUCAAUCCACUGUUGUUACACCUUCGUAUACGUGAACGUUACCUCUUUUACGCUCUACAGUUUCACGAGGGGCUCGGUCAACGGCGGCACGCCCUACCCGAACCAAACAGACUAUCUCUCGACCGACGUCUAAGUCGGCCGAGACCCUACCCUUGUUCGUCGUGAAACCCUCUUGACUUAGACACGUGUGGGAAAGUGUUCCUAGUCCACACAAAGGUUGUGGCAGGUUCUUUGCUAGCCGACCCGCAGGUUGUUGGUCGGCGCUGUUCCGAGGUAUACUUGUUGGUAGCUUCUCCUCGUUUAAUACAAGAUAUACAUCUUAAGUCCCCGUGUUCUCGUGUUGUACGGGACGGUCUCCCCUACACGGUUUCCGUGGAUCCUUUAGAGGCGCGACGAGUUUUACACCCACUGUCCGGUGUCCUUAUUGCGUACGUCGUUGGGCGGAUUUCAGACUCUUUUAGACUUAAAAUCACGGACAAGCCUCGGGGAGGCGAGGUGUCGAGACGGUGCCUCGCCUCGCCCGACGUCAAGUUUUAAAGCCUCGUCCCCUUAAUCACGAGGCGGUCUAAGCACCUCGGCCACCUAAUGGUAUGGUUUGUCCGGGAAUCAAAAACAAAAUCGCUAACAUACCUAAACCGACACACUGUGAAACAAUAAUCUUGGGCAUACAAUAAACACAUUUUGUAUCUCUUGCCAGUAGACGUUGCAAGUCUAGGGUCAAUCGACCGAGGUUGCCGGUCUUCGGGGACUACUUGUACUCUCGCACUCGCACGGGUACAAGUACUCACACGCACUCACUACGACCGUGACGUCCCGGUACUACCCCCUCACGUAGCGUACCGAUUGGUUGGACAGUCGCUCGGCACCUGCUGUACCCUACGAUUACAUCCUUUUAUGUCUUAUACCCCAACCCCAACGUCGACGAUCGAGCUUAUGUACUGUAUUUACGCAGCGACGUCGUAGAGCUACCCUAAUGACUGCUGGUCCUAUCGCUCGACGUACCUCGAGCCGGAGGUUUGCCGUAAAAGCGUUCCAUAACAGGAAAAAGAACGUUAGAAUCACAAUUUAUUAAUGGGACAUGGAAUUAUGGGUAUCUAACAACCUUAAAACGGAUAUCUAGUUAGUGUAGUUUAGUGUAUCUUGUGCGUGCGUGUUUUUAUAAUACAGAUUCCCGGGAAUAGCACGGGAAGAAAAAGGUGAAAUAAAGAGAAAAAGCAGAAAGGAAAUGUACAACUAAGGUUGCAUCUAUUGUAAAAACAUAUCGUUUCCACUAUCGAUCUAGUAUGUUAUCCGCUAGACGUACGGAUUAAACUUUCAUUUUAAACAUGAGUAUCGUACUGAAAAUAGCGAGUUAUACAGUCUUCGAAUCUAAGAAACCACAAGUAAAAUGUAGAAUAAUGCUACUCUGCAUGAAAGGUAACACUAUCUCCGCUCCCAGGGCUAGAAAGCUACUCUAUAUUAAUAGCUAAACCACCUCAGCUGAAACUGUUAGGCUGAUGUUUGUACG